GGGAGGCAGCAGUAGGGAAUCUUCCACAAUGGGCGCAAGCCUGAUGGAGCAACACCGCGUGAGUGAAGAAGGGUUUCGGCUCGUAAAGCUCUGUUGUUAAAGAAGAACACGUAUGAGAGUAACUGUUCAUACGUUGACGGUAUUUAACCAGAAAGUCACGGCUAACUACGUGCCAGCAGCCGCGGUAAUACGUAGGUGGCAAGCGUUAUCCGGAUUUAUUGGGCGUAAAGAGAGUGCAGGCGGUUUUCUAAGUCUGAUGUGAAAGCCUUCGGCUUAACCGGAGAAGUGCAUCGGAAACUGGAUAACUUGAGUGCAGAAGAGGGUAGUGGAACUCCAUGUGUAGCGGUGGAAUGCGUAGAUAUAUGGAAGAACACCAGUGGCGAAGGCGGCUACCUGGUCUGCAACUGACGCUGAGACUCGAAAGCAUGGGUAGCGAACAGGAUUAGAUACCCUGGUAGUCCAUGCCGUAAACGAUGAGUGCUAGGUGUUGGAGGGUUUCCGCCCUUCAGUGCCGGAGCUAACGCAUUAAGCACUCCGCCUGGGGAGUACGACCGCAAGGUUGAAACUCAAAGGAAUUGACGGGGGCCCGCACAAGCGGUGGAGCAUGUGGUUUAAUUCGAAGCUACGCGAAGAACCUUACCAGGUCUUGACAUCUUGCGCCAACCCUAGAGAUAGGGCGUUUCCUUCGGGAACGCAAUGACAGGUGGUGCAUGGUCGUCGUCAGCUCGUGUCGUGAGAUGUUGGGUUAAGUCCCGCAACGAGCGCAACCCUUGUUACUAGUUGCCAGCAUUAAGUUGGGCACUCUAGUGAGACUGCCGGUGACAAACCGGAGGAAGGUGGGGACGACGUCAGAUCAUCAUGCCCCUUAUGACCUGGGCUACACACGUGCUACAAUGGACGGUACAACGAGUCGCGAACUCGCGAGGGCAAGCAAAUCUCUUAAAACCGUUCUCAGUUCGGACUGCAGGCUGCAACUCGCCUGCACGAAGUCGGAAUCGCUAGUAAUCGCGGAUCAGCAUGCCGCGGUGAAUACGUUCCCGGGCCUUGUACACACCGCCCGUCACACCAUGAGAGUUUGUAACACCCAAAGUCGGUGGGGUAACCUUUUAGGAGCCAGCCGCCUAAGGUGU
rnacentral:rRNA from 2 species